rnacentral:lncRNA from 1 species
AGUAUCUAUCCCAAAGACCAGGGAGAAAGGAAGGAAAGAUUCUGGUUCUGUCCUCUUCCCCAAGGCAAGGCUGGCUGCCCUACCAACAGAGGCAAAGAGAAGAGUGUGCAAGGCUGGCUGCCCUCCCAACAGAGGCAAAGAGGAGUGUGUGUUGAAAUAUCCAUUGAAUCCCUGAGACAACUGGAUCCUGGCCCAUUGAAUCAUAAACUCAUUAUGGAGGCUGGGAAGACCUAGAAUGUGGCAUCACUAUUUGACCAUAUGAAGAUCAAGAAGAAGGAAGACCAAAAUGUGGAUACGUUGAUCCUUCUUAGAAAGGAGAACAAAAUACCCAUGGGAGGAGUUACAGAGACAAAGUGUGGAGCAGAGACUGAAGGAAAGACCAUCCAGAGACUGCCCCACCUGGGGAUCCAUCCAUCCCAUAUACAGUCAUCAAAUCCAGACACUAUUGUGGAUGCCAACAAGGGCUUGCUGACAGAAGCCUUAUAUAGCUGUCUCCUGAGAGGCUCUGCCAGUUCCUGACAAAUACAGAAGUGGAUGCUUUCAGUCAACCAUUCGACUGAGCACAGGGUGCCCAAUAGAGGAACUAAAGGACCCUAGGAGCUGAAGCUGAAAUUUUUAAUAUAAUGCCUCUUAGCCUGGUUUGGAGAAAACGUCACAGAGAGGCACCAUUUGUUGUGGUUUUACAUGAAAAUUUUCUGACCCUGAACCUGGUUUGAUGGAAAUCAUUUGCUGAGGAAACCAUGCCGAUUACCGACCGAGCUCUCAAUGGAAAAAUGCAGUCGGCGUGAACCACGCACGAACACAGCAGAGAAAGAAGAAAACACACACCACGAGGAACCCUAAUAGGACAAUACAUUAUAAGCCUCAUGGUACAUCCACUUGGUGUGCUGGGAGAGUCAGGAUGAGGACCUGAGAAGAACAGCAGCUUGAACCUGACUUCAUUUAACAGCCCACUGCCCUCUUGCCAAGAACCCAUCACAGACCUUCCCAGAAGAGAGGGAUGAGCCUCACCUAUGAAUAAGUCCUCAGAAACUCAAAUUUGAUUCUAAUGGAUUGUUUUCUCAGAAAGACUGAGCAUGUCCCCCCACAUCUCUGUCAUUUCCCACAGUAGUAACCUCUGCAGAUGCCACAUAGAAAACAAAACAAAACAAAAAAACAUGAGGUUGGUGGGCAGAUAGGCAGGGUAUAAACAAACAGCCUUGUAACCCAGAAGCUGUGUGAUAUACAGUAAACUUCACAACACUGAAAAGAUGUCCUAUCUGUUAAAAUGGGGUAAUAACAACUACCCGAAUGUUUAGGAAUAGAACUUCAAUAAAUGAUACAUUUUAUAGUACAGCA